GGGGGGGGCAAGCGUUGUUCGGAAUUACUGGGCGUAAAGGGCUCGUAGGUGGCCAACUAAGUCAGACGUGAAAUCCCUCGGCUUAACCGGGGAACUGCGUCUGAUACUGGUUGGCUUGAGUUUGGGAGAGGGACGCGGAAUUCCAGGUGUAGCGGUGAAAUGCGUAGAUAUCUGGAGGAACACCGGUGGCGAAGGCGGCGUCCUGGACCAACACUGACACUGAUGAGCGAAAGCCAGGGGAGCAAACGGGAUUAGAUACCCCGGUAGUCCUGGCCCUAAACGAUGAAUGCUUGGUGUGGCGGGUAUCGAUCCCUGCCGUGCCGAAGCUAACGCAUUAAGCAUUCCGCCUGGGGAGUACGGUCGCAAGGCUG
rnacentral:rRNA from 1 species